AUGGCGCCCAAGAGGAGGAAAGAGGCAUCCACCUCCACCACUAUCUCUCCCCCUCUACCCCCCGGCCAUUCAUCAAUCUUCUACCUGGAGUUAAGCAAUCUCGCCACAAGCUAUGGACAGCUUAUGUCCGCGAUUUCAUCUGAGGCUGAGGUUAUCAUAACUCUGGAAUCGCCCUCCAACAGCAAAGGGGUAAAGCAGUUUUGCAAGAUAUCCGACAAGCUGUACACUCCGAGCGGUGGAACAUUCCUAGUGCAGAUCACACCAGAUAACUCAAGUCCUUUGGAAGAUCGGCUCACUCUGCUAUUCAGAUGGAAAGACCUAUAUUUCGAAGCAUUUCAUAGCAAAGGGAAAUGGUACAGGAUGGGGGAUGCUGAGGAGACUCUCCCUCCAAGAUCCCAGCUGAAUUAUCCCAUGAAGGAGCAUCAGGGAAUUGUGAAGAUCCCGUUUGAAACCACAUAUGCGAGUGUUCUUGGGAAGAAGUCGUUUCAAUGUGCCCCGAUGGGUCCGGGUAGUUUCCACCGCUGCUACAAGACUCUGAUGACAUCCGGAGAGGUUCAUAAAGAUUCAUUGAAGCAACUUCUGGGACAUGGUUUCCCACUCGCUUUACCUGUGAUGGGUAUCUCUGAGCCCCUAAGGUUUCCCCUUUACCAGGAGUGGCUUCAGAAUGUGUUGAUCUUAGCUGGUGCCUCUGAUGGAGAUCAGCUUGAUCGCGAUCCAUUGGACAACAUGUUCGAUAAGGUAGUUCCAGCCGAGCACUCCGACAAGUUCAACGCGUGGGGGACAAUUUCUGAUUGCAUGUAUGAGAAAAGGGUGACACUCCGGUGCAAUAUACUUGAAGUAUUCUACUCCGAGUAGAAUUAAUCUG
rnacentral:lncRNA from 1 species